ACAAAACACGUAAAACAAUCAAUCAAACAAACAAAACAAAAUAAAUCCAAAAAAAUGUAAUGUUCAGUCCAAUUUAUACAGUCCAAAAUAGAGAAAUGCAAAAAAAUAAAUCCUAUCUAACCUAUACUAAUCUUCACUAUGCUCCCUUGCUUUACCCGAUGCCGCGGACCUUCAUCACGGACGUCCUUCAAGUAUAAAAUACUUCGGGACAUUCCCCAGAUAAAAUAAUACAAGUUCUUCGGGGUAUUCCCCGGCCAAAUGAUACAAUUAAAUCCAAAUGCGAUAAACAAAACCAUUCAACACAUAUUCCAAACAUUCCACAAUUCACCAUUUCUAAAUUUACCAACCCAAACCUAAGAUUUGCCUAUCAAUUCUCGGCAUAACACAUGAUACUAUCGAGUUCAAUGACAUUAAUAACCAUUUCAAAUUUAACAACAAUUGAUGAAUCAAAAUACAACAAUAUUCAUUUUUAUCAACUUUCAAUUCCCAUCUUCCCCGAUUUCAUUGUCAAAACUCUUCACCAAUUCUUCGACUAUAUAAUCCAACAUCAACCACACACAACAGAAUUCAAGCAUGUCAAACACACAAAUCACCCAAAAUUACGUAAAAUUAAAAGGGAGAUAGAAUUGGACCUUAAUUAGGAUUUUAUUCCAAAUAUCAGUCAAUUGAGAGGACGAAUCCGCGUGCCGAAGAACCUCGAUUCGGAACCUCAAUUUGAACCCAAGCUUCGGUAUCAAAAAGACUUGAGAUCCAAAACUGAAUCCUCGAUCCAGUAUGAAGAACAAUGAACUAACACAGAAAUUGCUACAAAACUCACCAAACCCGAACUCAGAACUAUCGCAAAAUUGAUUCAAACCAGAAAAUGCUACCUUCACUGUUUCCCUUACUCCAACCAGCUUUCUGUCUCUCAAUAUCUCAUUUGUUUCUCUCUCUAUUCUUCUUCUUGCGUCUCUCUCUCCAAACACUCUUUUUUCUUUCUCUUUUACCUCUUAAUCAUCAUUUGUGUGUUGUUCCUGUUCUUUAAUCAAGUUUUAAAAAAUGGAGUAUGUGCCUACUAGUGUUUUGUGUAUUUAGUGAAGUUGAGUGUUAUUUGUGCUGUGGAGAAGAAAAAGAAACAUGGAGUUCAUCAAUGGCUACUGACGUGUGCUUUGAGGAAGAAAUGGAAUUCUGUAUGUUCAAUAAUGGAAAGGGUCCCCUUUUUUUUCUUUGUUUUCCGUGAAUCCCCCCCUUCAAUUCCAAGAAAUGGCCUUAUACUCAAGGAUUGUGGGGUCCACCAGUGAGGUGUCUUUUUUUUUCCUUUCCUAGAAACUUCCUCCUUUUGUUUUCUAAUGUCUUGGUAUAAAAUUCAUUCUUUGUCGGCAAGAAAAGGGAAGGGAGGGGUGUCACAUGAGGUGGGGUAGAAGGGGUAGGGGUUAGAUGUCCAUUUUUUAUUGGGUGGGUUGUUAGGAGGUUUUAAAAGAGAAGACAAAAUUGGUUGGGAUUUUUUAUUUGGAUAAAGAUAAAAAUAAAUAAAUAAAUAAAAUGAAGUGGUUAUUUUAUUUAUUUUCUUGAAGGAAAUUAUAAGACGAGGUUAAAGUGCGUGAUAACGGAGUAAGAAUUAUUUUUGACGGGACAAAAUUAGGUGUCUACAUCAUGCCCCCCUUCGAAUGUAAACACAAAGUGUUUUCAGACAAAGAAGUAGACAACGAGACAAAAUUUUGUCCCGACCAUUAUUCGAAGAAAGAAAUAGAAAUAAGAAUAACAACCGAGUUCUGACUUAGGACAUCCUACCCACCCAAGUUAUGGAGGAAUCAAGUGAAGAGUAUUUCAAAGGAUUUGAAAGAGAAGGGAAAUACCGAGUUGGAGAGUUGAGUAAGGUUCCAUCGAGGUUCCGAUCCACAGCUUUGUCAUUACAGCAAAAUGAAAAGUACAAGUUAAAACAUAAAUGAAAUUAUGAAAUCCUAUCUAUGCGACUUUCUUGUUGGACUCUUGACUUGCUACUUCAUCACCCUAUUCUUCAGGCAGACUCCUGAUUUGCAAUUUCUCCAACAUGUUGUUUGACUUUCAAUUGUUUCACCUCAUUGCUUAACUUUCAAUUUCCUCACCCUAUUCUUAAGGCGGGCUCCUGACUUGCUCUUUUUCAAUCUGUUAACUUUCAAAUUUUCACGUUGUUUCUUUGUUUUCAACUUCUUCACCUUGUUGCUUGAUUUUUAAAUUCUUCACUUUGUUGCUUGACUUUUCAUUUCUUCACCCUGUUCUCCAGGCGGGCUCCUGAAAUCACAUCAAAACUAAAAAGAACAUUACCCUAAACAAAAAUUAUUAUAAUGAGAUUUCAUUUUUGAAAGUAAUGUCUCAUUCUUUGGGAGGGUCCUGAACAAAAGUAAAAUCCCAUUUUUCAAGAGGGUCCUGAACAGAAAGUAAAAUCUCAUUUUUCAGGAGGGUCCUGACAGAAAGUAAAAUCCCAUUUUUCAUGAGGGUCCUGAACAUAAAGUGAAAUUCCAUUUUUUAGGAGGGUCCUGAACAGAAGGUAAAAUCCCAUUUUUCAGGAGGGUCCUGAACAUAAAGCAAAAUCUCAUUUUUCAGAAGGGUCCUGAACAGAAAGUAAAAUCUCAUUUUUUAGGAGGGUCCUGAACAUAAAGUGAAAUCUCAUUUUUUAGGAGGUCCUGAACAGAAAGUAAAAUCUCAUUUUUUAAGAGGGUCCUGAACAUAAAGUAAAAGAUCAUUUUUCAGGAGGGGCCUGAACAUAAAGUAAAAGACCAUUUUUCAGGAGGGUCCUAAACUUAAAGUAAAUUCCCAUUUUUUCAGGAGGGUCCUGAACUGAAAGUGAAAUCCUAUUUUCAGGAGGAGCCUGAACAGAAAGUAAAAUUCCAUUUUUUAGGAGGGUCCUAAACAGAAAGUAAAGUCCCUGGAUAUGCUUUCUAAUAACAGCUGAACUCAAUGAACAAAACUUUGCCCCUGUUUCAUCAAAAAAAAAUUUCACUUGAAAGCUUAGUGGUGGUUUGUAGCACUUGGCUUUCCAGGCAUCUGCUCCAGCAGUUGUCCUUUAAUCUUUGUUUCAAAUUGCUGACACUUGCCCCUAUGUUGUCGUAUCAUUGACCCAGACUAGAUUGGUGAAACACCUUUGACUCAAAUACUGAGUUUCUAUUUUACCAUGGUUGUUUCUCUCAUGUGCUAGUCCUUGGCUUUUCUCAUAUAAUUGGAAAGACUGGUAGGAAGUUUUGAAAACCUUUCUCUCUUGUUUUGACACUAAAAAGACUUCACUUAAAAUUUAAUGAAAUAAUGCUGACUUUUAUUUUGAUAAAUGACAUAAAAAGACAAAAUAUGAAUAUUUAAAUGAAAUAAAAGGGCAAUGUCCCUUAUUCAAAAAGAAAACUUAUCGGAAUACGGCAACCAACUCCAAUGAGUAUGACAUGCAUUUUGAAUUAAGCUGCUUGAUCAUCCUAUCCAAACUACCCAUUUGUUGUUGAGUUCGUGCCUUUGCCGCUGAGCCGCUUCUUCAAAUCCAUUGGACCCAUAUAUCUCAUUCAAUCGAAGACAUCUUAAAAUACUUUCGCCAACAAAUCUCUUUCUUUUCACUUUUCACUUUUCUCUUGAACUCGCCAUCACCUUAAGGUGCUCGUGAGGGUUUUCACCAGUAAGAAUCUCUUAUUUUUAUUUCUAUCCACUCACCAUCUCCUUAUGGUGACCACGAUAGUUUUCACCAAUAAUACUCUCUCAUUUUCAUUUCUCUCAACUCACUAUUGCCUUACGGUGCCCGUGAGGGUUUUCACCAAUAAGACUCUCUCAUUUUAUAUUUCUUUCCUGAUUUCUUAUGCUGAGGAAGACAAGUAGUACCUAAUAAUGUAUCAUUAUAUCCAUUUCAUGAUUAGCCUUAACAUUAUCAAAAUUGAUCUGAAGGACUUUCUUUGGUUAUAACUUGGCUUUCGGAUAAGCUUAGAAAAUGAUGGCAAAAGACUCAAAUGACACUUGAAGUGGGGGGUGGGACUUACAACUUUUGGAAUCAACUCAAACAACACAUUAACUCAUGCCCCAUUUUGUUGACUGGGUGACUCUAAAAUUUUUAUUUGGUUUGACCGAGCCCGAACUAGGGCAGCCUACAUAUCUUACUCCCAAGAGAGGAGAAUCAAGUCGCACGUAGUUCCAUUAGCUUGUUUUUUUUUUUUAUCUAAUUUUAUCUUAUCUCUUUUUCUUUUAUCAUUAUUAUUAUUAUUAUUAUUAUUAUUAUUUCUUAUUCUUCUUUUCUUGACAUUUUAUUUUUUACUCUAUUUUGAUUCCAAAAGAGGGGUAUGAAAGAAAAAUAAAACUAAGCUCAAAUGGGUAAACAAAGGAUGACACAAUAUUUGGAUAGAAGAAUAAAAUGCCUUCAUCAUAUCAAUCUUCAAAAAUGCAAGUACUAAACAUGCAAUAAAAUCAACAAAGGAUAAAAUAUCAUACAUAAUAUCUUUUGACCGCAUCAGAAUUGAUAGCCAUUUCUACCAUUUUGCUUCAAUGUUUGUCAAAUAUAAGGCUUCAUUGAGCAACACUUUCUUCACAAUGAAGGGACCUUGCUAGUUUAGGGGUAACUUGCCUUUCGCUUCAACCUGGUGAGGAAGGAUACACUUCAAUACCAGCUGACCAACUUCAAAAUGCCUGGGUCGUACCUUCUUGUUAUACGCUCAAGCCAUUCUCUUCUAAUACAAUUGGCCAUGACAUACCGACGUUAGCCUUUUUUACUCAAUCAAACUUAAUUAUUUCAAUCGGGUUUUGACCCACUCAUCAUUAUCAAUCUCUGCUUCCACAAUGACUUGAAGAGAGAGAAUUUUAACUUCUGCAGGGAUGACUGCUCCUGUCCCAUACACCAAUAAAUAUGGAUUUGCCCCUGCUGAUGUGCGAACAGUAGUACGAUAACCCAGCAAUGCAAAUGGCAACUUCUCAUGCCAUUGUCUAGACCCUUGUACCAUUUUCUGCACUAUCUUAUUGAUAUUCUUAUUGGCGGCUUUCACAGCGCUAUUAUCCUUCAGAUGAUAUGGAGUGGAAUUUCGAUGUGCGAUCUUAAACUGUUGACACACUUCUUGCAUCAAAUGACUAUUCAGAUUGGCAGCAUUAUCUGUAAUGAUCAUCUUAGGAAUUCCAAACCUACAAAUUAUAUUGGCAUGAAUAAAAUCUGCUACCACCUUCUUUGUCACUUCCUUAAAAGUUACUGCUUCUAACCAUUUUGUGAAGUAAUCAAUGGCCUAAAAAAUGAAUCUAUGCCCAUUUGACGCUUUCGGCUCAAUCGGCCCGAUCACAUCCAUCCCCCAAUCUAUGAAAAGCUAUGGAGCAGACAUUGUGUUCAAUUCAGCAGGAGGAGAACAUAUCAGAUCACCGUGUACCUGACAUUGAUGACAUUUUUGAACAAAACGAAUAGAAUCCCUCUCUAGAGUAAACCAAUAAUAACCUGCUCUGAGAAUCCUCUUAGACAAGACAUAACCAUUCAGAUGAGGCUCGCAUACUCCGAAAUGAACUUCAACCAUGAUUGUCGAAGCUUCGUUUGUAUCAAAACACCUCAAAAGUCCCAGAUCUGGGGUUCUCUUGUAUAAGAUUCCCCUACUUAAGAAAAAUGCACUAGCCAAACGCCUAAUAGUCCUCUUUUGAUCAUUGGUGGCAUGUGUCGGGCAUUCUCUUGACUGGAUGUACUGCUUGAUAUCAAAGAAUCAAGGUUCGCCAUCAAGCUCUUCUUCAACUACAUUACAAUAAGCACGUUGAUCACGACUCUGUAUAUGCACUGGAUCGAUGUAGGCCUUAUCAGGGUGUUAGAGCAUUGAAGACAAAUUGGCCAAAGCAUCAGCAAUCUCAUUGUGAAUUCUUGGAAUAUGCUUAAACUUUACAGACAUAAAUCGUUGACAUAGAUCCUUCAGGCAUCGUCAAUACUGUAUUAGCUUAAAAUCUCAUGUCUCCCAAUCACCUUGAACCUGAUAGAUGAGCAAAUCUGAAUCUCCCAACACUAAUAGUUCCUGGACUCCCAUAUCAACAGCUAGCCUCAAACCCAGAAUGCAAGCUUCAUAUUCUGCCAUGUUAUUAGUAUAAUAAAAUCGAAGUUGCGCUAUUACUGGAAAAUGUUGCCCUGCCUCAGAGAUAAGAACUGAACCUAUUCAGCCUCCUUUUAUGUUGACAUCUCCAUCGAAGAACAACUUUCAACCUGGAUUAGCAUCUAUAAUGACUUCAUUAACACACAACAGCUCUUCAUCAGGAAAAUAUGUCUUUAAUGGCUCGUACUCUUCAUCAAUGGGAUUCUCAGCAAGAUGAUCUGCCAAGGCUUAGGCUUUCAUAGUGGUUCUAUUCACAUAUAUAAUGUUGAACUCGGUAAGCAAUAUUUGUCACUUUGCCAAACGGUCGGUCGGCAUAGGCUUCUGAAAGAUAUACUUCAAAGAAUCUAUGCGGGAGAUGAGAUAAGUAGUGUAGGAUGAAAGAUAAUGCUUCAGCUUCUAUGGUACCCAAGUUAGGGCACAACACGCCCUUUCAAGAAGAGUAUAACUGGCCUCAUAUGCGGUGAACUUUUUGCUAAGAUAACAAAUAGCCUGCUCCUUUUUACCUAUGACAUCAUGUUGACCCAGGACACAAAUGAAAGAAUUAUCCAUGACUCAUAAAUAUAAGAUCAAAGGACCACAUGGGCGGAUUUGAAAAAUAUCUUUUGAUUUUAUCAAACGCUUCCUGACAUUCUUCAGACCACUGCCACAACAUUUUUUUUCAGCAACUUGAAAAUGGGCUCACAUGUGGUUGUGAGUUGAGCAAUAAACCUACUAAUGUAGUUCAAUCUAUCCAGCUAACCCAUCACCUCUGUACUAUUUUUGGGUGGAGGAAAAUCCUAGAUGGCUUCGAGUUUCGAAGGAUCCAAUUCAAUUCCCCAAUGGCUGAAUACAAACCCCAAUAACUUUCCAGACAAAACUCCGAAUACAUAUUUUGCCUGGUUGAGUUUGAGAUUAUACCUGCGAAGCCUUUCAAAGAACUUUCUUAAAUCUUUAACAUGGUUAGCCUGACUUUUUGAUUUAAUAAUCACAUCAUCUACAUAGACCUCAAUCUCCUUAUGCAUCAUAUCAUGAAACAUAGUGGUCAUGGCUCUCAUGUAUGUUGCUCCAGCAUUCUUCAAAUCAAACGGCAUCACUCGAUAACAAUAGGUCCCCCAUGGUGUGAUAAAAAAUGUCUUCUCCGCGUCUUAAUCAUCCAUAAUGAUCUGAUGGUAUCCGGUAUAGAAAUCCACAAAAGAGGCAAUCUCAUGUUUAGCGCAGUUGUCCAGCAAAAUAUGGAUGUUGGGCAGUGAAAAAUCAUCCUUUGGACUUGCUCUGUUCAAAUCACGGUAAUCAACACAUACUCAAAUUUUUCCAUCUUUCUUUGGGACAGGAACAACAUUGGAUAACCACGUAGGAUAACGAGCCACUCGAAUGACUUUGGCUUCAAGUUGUUUCAUGAUUUUCUAUUUGAUUUUAAUGCUUAAAUCAGUUUAAAACUUCCCCAACUUCUGUUUUACAGAGGGAAUAUGGGAUCAUUUGGCAAUUUAUGAGCCACUAAUUCAGUAUUUAAACUAGGCAUAUCAUCAUAAGACCAUGCAAAAACAUCCUUAUAAUCAAUUAAUGCUUGAAUCAAUCCAUCUUUUAGCUACGAGAAAGGAUGUAUACUAAUUUUAGUUUCCCUAAUAUCUUCUUGAUUCCCUAGAUUGAUUGGAUCAGUUUCAUUCAAAUUAGGAUUUGUCUUGUCUUCAAACUGUUCCAACUCUUUGCUUAGAGUGCCUCUUCUUUAUCAUAUUCCCCCUCUUGCUUCAUUAUAUCUUGAUUAGCUUGGAUUUUAAGAUCAGACUGAAAAUUUUGCAUGUAUGUCAUGUCAUUAAAAUCAGCAUAAAGAGAACUGUAUAAAGAAAAAGACAAAAUCAAAAUAUAUUAGACACAAAACAAGGGGAUAUUGCAUUUUAUUAAAAAGGGAAAGAUAGGAAGGUUUAAAUACAAUUGACAUCAUAAUGUAAACAAGCUAAAUUUUGAAUUAUAACCCUGGAAUAAUUCAGAUAAAUAGAAAGAAAAACAAAAUGAACUACCAAAGCUCCCUCCUAAUAGGGAGAGGAGUGAUUUUCCAAUUGUUGAGCUGGACCUCAGGACCUAUGAACAGCAUGUCCGCCUUAUUGAUACCCUCUCCUAUUUUAACCAUGUCAACAUCAGUCAGUAGGUUCUGGAAGUCAUCAACCAAUUCAGCUUCAAAUUCUAUAGGUUUCGUGACAUCGCUCUUGACAAAUGAUUCACUGAGUAGCGGCAUUGGGCGAGGGAGUGACCAUGUUUCCAUUUUCCUACCCUUGGCCUUCUUUAAAUCUUCAGCCAUAGGUUCAAAUCCCAAACCAGAAGCGCCCAUAUUCUCUCUCAGACAUAUGGGAUGAACGAUACCAUGCAGAGACAUUCCCAAACCCUUCUCUGGCACAAAUCCAUAUUUCAAAAGCUCACUCACCAUCAUGAUAGAAACAGAAGGCAAUUGUGGUCCCAGGAUAACCUGUCCUUCAAGGAUAUGAUAUACUGGCACUGCAUCAAAAGUUUGAUAGACAAAUGUCUCUUCUACAUUUUUUGCUUCAACAAGGGACAAGGGAGAAUCUUCGUAGAUGGAUAAAUCUCCUUCACCAUGAAUAACUACUUCUUACCUGUCAUGCUCAAACUUGAUUUUUUGAUGCAAUGUAGAUGCAACCGCCUUGGCCUUGUGGAUCCACGAUCUUCCCAAUAACAGAUUGUAAGAGGACUCUAUAUUCAAUACUUGAAACUCUAUGGCAAACUCAACAGGCACUAUAAUCAACAUUAGUUCUAUUUAGCCAAUGGAGUUUGUUUUUGCACCAAUGAAAGCCCUGACACAUACAUUGUUGGGCCUGAUCCUCUCAGCACCAAUAUUUAACUUUUGCAAAGUAGAAAUAGGGUAGAAAUUUGCACCUGAACCUCCAUCAAUCAUGACAUAAGUGACGUAGAAAUCUUCAUACUUCACUAUAAUGUAAAGACCCCAGUUAUACCCCGUACCUUUAACAGGCAACUCAUCGUCAGAGAAUCUGAUCCAAUUGACCUCGAAGAUUUUUCCAACCAUUUUCUCCAGCUUAUUUACUGUAAUCUCCCUAGGAACAUAUACUUCAUUUAAUACCUUCAGUAUAAUAUCACGAUGUUCCUUGGAAUGCAACAACAAAGAUAACAGGGAAAUUUGAGUAGGGGUUUUCUUCAACUGAUCUAUUAUUAAGUUCUCUGACAACUUCAUAUUUUUUAAAAAUUCUUCGACUUCUUCUUUGGUAAUAGGAUUUUUGAUAGAUGAAGGUUCACUCAUAAUUGGCUUGGACAUCCUUAAACUUUCACGCAUGAAGUAUCUUCCUGACCGACUCAAACCCCCUACCUCAUCUACAUCUUCCACUAUAUUCUUCCCCUGAUAGGUCAUCACAGUCCGCUUAUAGUUCCAGGGAACUUUUUUUGUAUUAACUAUCGGAGGUUGGGUCACCGUUUUGAUGAUAAUAGGUUCCACAAGUGCUCCUUUCACAGUCAAUAUAGGCUUACAUAGAGCUCCUAUAACCAUUAACUUAGGAUUUUCUUGACUUAAACCAAUGACUACUCCAACUCCUUUCACUGUGAUCACGGGUUUCUUUGUGCUUUCUUAGACUUUAGCUUUUCCCAUUCCUUCCUGGCUUAAUGACAUUUCUUUCAACGAAUCAGCUAUAUUCAUCGAUUUUUCCUCAUUGGUCUAUAUCUUGACAAUGGGCUUAUAACACCUUGAUGAAUCUUUCCCAUCAUAUAUCAAUUCUAACAUAUUGGUUUCAGAAUGGGUUAGCAGUGGAUUUUGGUUAAUGUUUGGAACCUCCGGGGCCUGGACCAACAUCUGAUUAUGUCAAUUAAAUCUUGGACAACUCUCUUUAAAUGCCAGUAUUUCUCGAUAUCGUAGCCUAGCAUGUCAUAACAGUACGCACACCUUAAAGAAUAAUCUAGAUUCCUCGGAGGUGGAUUUGUAAGCCUUCCUUGAAUUGGGCUUAAGACCUUCAUCUUUCUCAACCUAUCAAACAAGCUAGAAUAUGACUCCCCAAGAGGUGUGAACUAAUUUUUGACUGCCUUCUUUUUCUUGUACUCGGGCCUAGGUUGGAAACCAGGUCUAGAAGGGUUUUGGUAAUUUGGUGAAGCUGAUGGAUGAUUUUGUGGAGCUUGCGCGCGCCAUUGCAAGUAAGAAGGGGUUUGGGCAUAUGGCUGCACAUUAUAUACUGGGUAUGGGGGUUGUAGAAUAGAAUAUAAUAGGUUUUGUGGAGGGUAGUAAUGGUGAGGAGGAAUAUAUGGAGCUUAAGCAUAGACUUGGGCUUGGGAUUGGGGAUAGGGGCGAGGCGGUCUUUUGGGAUAGAAAUGGGUUCUAACUACGAUGGUCGCCACAUCCUCUUUCUUCUUUUUACCUCUAAAUGCACUAGAUCCACCUGGAAUCACUUGUGUGGUGGCUUUCAAUGUGGCAAAACUCACUAUUCGGCUGGUUUUGAUUUCUUUCUCUAUCAUCUCUCCCAUUUUGAGGACUUUAAUAAAAGAAUUUCCUAUUGCCAAAAGUAAAUAUUGAAAAUAGGUCUUAUUCUAUGCCUGAAUGAAGACCUCUACUAGCUUACUCUCCUUCAUUUGAGGCUUUACCUUGGAGGCCUGUUCACGCCACCUUAUCACGUAUUUCCUAAAGCCUUUAGUGCUUUUCUUCUUUAUGUUGACCAAAGAUUUUUCAUCCGAAAUCAGGUUGACAUUAUACUAAAAAUAUUGGACAAACUCAGAACCUAAGUCAUCCCAGCUGUUCCACUUAUUGAUAUGUUGAUUGACAAACCAUUCUGAAGCCAUAUCAGAAAGACUCUCGCCAAAGAAAUCCAUAAGCAACUCUUCCCAUCCCCCUGCAGCCCUUAAUUAGUUGUAAUAACGUCUCAAGUGAGCCAUAAGAUCACCAUGCCCAGCGUACUUCUCGAACUUGGGCAUUUUAAAACUGAGGGGAAGGUUCACUUCUGGGAACAUGAAAAUAUCUUUAUAGGAAACACUCUUAUAACCUCCGUGCCCUACAAAUUCCUCAUGGCCUAUUCCAAACUUUUCAAUUUCUGCGCUAUGACCUCCUGUUCCUCUGUUGUGAUAGGUUUUUCCAUAUCAAAUGGAAAUGCAGGUGGCUGAGUGCACCCAUACGGUUUAUUCAUUCUCAAAGUAGGCUCAGGGUAUAAUACUGACUAUCUGGAACCUUCAAUACUGGCUCACUUGCAGACCAAGGAAGCACCAUUGCCGGACGGACAACAUAUGCGAGAGCUUCAGGUGGUGGCGGAGCCAUGAACACUGGUGUGAUAGAUGGCACCGGCUGAUCAGUGGGUCUUGGUUGGGGAGCUGCCAAGGGUACACACAGAAGUGCUAGGAUAAUAAUGUUGCGGAGUGAAUCCUGGCGCGUGCUCAGGUGACUCAGUGGGAGCAGAGAAUUAUGCAUGAGAGAGCCGUGGGCAACUAGAGAUAUUCCCGAUAUCUUCAGGUAGUGGUGGAGGAGGCAUUUCGCUAGCCUACACCCGGUGCAAAUCUAUCAAUUGUUGCCUGAGCCUUACUACCUCAUCAUUACAUUCUAAACUUUUUUCCCUGGGAUCCUAGUCCGGGUCAAUGAGCGAAUUGUCAAUCUCCCUGCUAGCAAUGCCGAGCUUUGCUUUUGAUCUAGUAAAGUAUGGGUGACUAGCCAGAGUGCUGCAAACCAACCUCUGUUAUCUAAAAGAACAUGCUCAUCAAAGACAACACCCUUUAGGAUUAGGCCAUUCAACAAGAAUGGGAAUCACAUUGGGGAAAUUGUUCUAGAUUCAAUGUUCAUUUCUUUCAGCCUUUGAGGGUAGCGAGGUCAUUUUAACAUCAUCCCAAUUUCUAUCUACUCUCAUUUGCUUCUUUCCUUUGGACACACCUAUUUUGUUUCGCCCUCAUUUCCCUCUUUUUUUUGUAUCAGUCUUUGUUCUUUCGCUUUCUUAUCUCAUCAUCCUUUCUUUCUUUUCUUCUCUCGCUAUCUACCUUUAUUUUAUCAUUCUUUAUGGCUUUUGCUUUUAUUUAAAAGAGAUAAAAAAUAAUGAAAAACAAUGAAACAAAAUGAUUGGAUCAAACCCAAAAGUAGGUUGCCUACGUAUCAUGUUGUACAUGAAUCAGAUCUUGCAUAGUUCGGGCAAUGCACACACAUAAACACCACAAAGUUGAAGAUUUCUUAUUUGAUUUCUUUUUGACGAAGAACACAGAAAAGGAAAAAACUGCGCAACUUCACUACAUUUCAUAAAAGAGACGACAAACCAAACUUCGAAUCUAACAACUUAAAAAUCGAUCAACAAAGAAUAAACAACAUUCAAGACCCAUAAGAUAACAUGUGUAAUACUCCUAGUAAAGACUCUUAACUUUAAAACAAACUUGACACCGACUUAAAAAGGACACAAUACUACAAGGCAGAAAAGUAAAAGACUCAAAAUAAACAAAAGAUAGGAAUUGCUCCUUUAAACUGGUGCUCUGCGUGAUGACCCUGGCUGAUAUGGACCUACUUUUGAAGCUCUCUUUCUCCUACCCAAACUUGUAGCGUAUCCUGUAAAGACACCUUGAUAUUUGGGAAAAAGCUUCUGGCCCGUAUUCCCGCCUCAUGGGGAGUGCACCUGGAAAGAUUAUUCUGACACCUUUCUACAGUCUUGAACAAAUCUGCUAACUGAACUCUCAGUGUCUCCACUUUGGCCCCCGCAUUUUCAUCCUGACUAUUAUCAACAAUGCAUUCUUCUGGUAUUCUUCCUCUAAGCUACACCGGUAAUGGCCUGCUGACACCCCGAGGUAUAGAUUAAAGCCAGAGCCUGUAUUCCUGGGUGUACCCUGGAUUAUCUGAACCUACUUGGAGAGUAUUCACGCCUAGCUGUGUUUCGUGAUUCUAGAAUUCUUCAUAUUUACUCUCGUCUAAGGCUCGAUCCCUAAAAUGCUCAACAUCCUUCAAGAGAUACAUUACUGGUGGAACAUCUUCCAGUCUACCCAAUUGGCGCAUUACCCUAAGAGGAGAGUACGGUCUGGCGAAAUUGAUCCCUAAAAGAACUAAAAGAGGUCGUAUCCGACAACCACAAAGGAUUAUUUUUGGACAAAACCAGAGAUAGUUCCACAGAAUGUUGUCCUCAGAUCUUGACUCAAGAAAUUUAAUCCAAGUAUCGGCCCCUAUUGGCAGCAAGAACUUUUUGAAACACAUUCUAUGAUUCAUGGUUUCCACUCGCUCAAACAUACAACGAUCAAUUGCAUCUGACCUAAUCAAAUAAGGCGUAUGCAAGUGCUCCGUCAUCGACAAUUACAGUAUCAGGUUGCUCCCUUAGAAGAAUCUCACCCCUCCUUUUACCUCGAUUAAAGCUUAUAUAUUUCUGCCAAGAUCAUAGGUACGAGAGUGAAUGUUUCCCCUAGUUUUUCAUGAAAUAAGGCCAUCACCACCAUCUACAAAUGAGUAUUAAUUCGUCUUUCUUCUAAUAGGAACACUAAAAUGCCCAACAAGAUGAAGGUGAAGACUUAUAAACAACGUUUCUGCCAAUUUUCCUUAGUUGUAUAAAAUUCAUCCCAAAAGCAAUCAAAACCAUCUAAGGGCCCAAACCGAGCAUACAAAUAAUCAAAGGAGACCCAAUAUUGUUUAAGAUAUGUCAGGUGGUUAUUGGCCUUUAAACCAUAACCAUGAAGAAACCAUAUGGGAGAAUGAGUCUGUGCCCGAAUCAUUGUUUUCUUAAUGUAAGGCAAUUUACAGAAACUAGAUAUCUCUGCCAGAGUGGGCGUCAUUUCAUAAUUUCCAAACCUAAACACCAAAUAACCUGGGUCCUAAAAAGUCUAUAGCCUCGAUCAGAUAUGGGCGGGGCGUAAGUUCUAGAAGGGAAGUGAGAGCGCCUAACUUCUUUGUUAACUCCUACUGUUCAACAUAGUAAAAAAUGUCCCACCAUUUGAUUAACUUUCUGGGCACCUUGACAACCAUUAUGACUCUAGACUUUGUCGACUGAUCCAUCUUGUAGUAACACAUAGGACAUCAACUUGAAAAUUCUAUAAGAGCAAAAGAUUCCCAACCCUUGGGACUUUUUCGCAGUCAUAUGUCAAAGGGACAGACCACUUUAUGACUCCAAAUCGCUGAAUAGUACCACUGAAUAAAAUCAACACACUUGCUAAGACAAACUAAUAACACUAGAUUACGAGGAGAAAGACCUAGGCUAAGGCUAAGACAAAGGCUAAAAUAAAGAUUACCGGACCCACCGAGGGUUGCAUACGUAUCCCGCCCCGAGGGACGAGGUCCAGAUUGGACAAUUAAUGAUUAACUAAUAGAUUGACCCUAACUUAAGAGACACAACCAAAGACAAACGAAUAAUUUUUUGGGGGGUUUUUAAUUAGAACCUUCAACUAAAACUGACACCAACAAUUAUGAAGGAAAAUAUUUUUGGUAUUUUCACUAUAUGAAAUGUACAAAACUUCUACCGUUUUUCAUUUUCUUUUAUAAAAAUUUCAAAAAAAAAAAUCUUUUUUUUUUGAAAAUUUUGAAUUAUGAAUGCAUGCUAAAGGAGACAGUGAGAAAUCUUUUUGAUGUUUUGAUUUUUGAACAAAUGAGUGCAGAAAAUAAAGAAAUCUUUUUGAAUUUUUGAAUUGUGAAAAAACAAAAGCCAUAAAGAAUACUAAAAGCUACGAAACUCUUUUUUUUCAUCUUUUUUCUUUUUCCCUCUUUUUUUCGAUUUUUUCCUGCCACACACUUUACUUCUAACAUAUGUUUUCCCCAAAUCAGUCCAUCAAAUGACCACGUUACCCUCAAAUAUACAACAUUUAGCACGUAGAGAUGCUUUAGAGGUGAGUAUCCUACAAAAGGCCAAGUGGGCCCUGCUAGGUCUUGAAUAUGAUGCACAUAAGCAUGACCUAAAGGCUGACCUACGUUGAAGUUUACUAACAACGUUGUUCUGGGGAGCGUAUGGUCGAUAGUGGCUGCUUUGCUUUCCACUCCAUUCCAGCCAAUGGCUCCCCCCCUAAGAUAAGGGUGACUCAACUAGAGGUCAUGUACACAAUGUGUACUACAGACUUGUUGCAGAAAAAAUGACUCGAGUAAUGCACAUGAUGCCAGAUAUAAAAGCGGUAACACAUAUGAUAAAUACUGUAAACAAAGAGCACGAAAAAUACACGAAAACGAUAACAAUAACACAAAUAAAAAUCACAAACAAUGUGUAUACACUUGUAAUGCCAAACAAAGCUGAUACGUCUCCAAAAAUAAGCUCGAAUUCUAAAAUUGGUCCCCAACAAAGUCGCCAGAGCUGUCACACCCCUUUUUUGUACUCCAAAAGAUUUGUUUUAAGUCUGAAAGGGUUUUUAUUAGUAAGUGACAAAAAAAUGACUCUUACUUUGAAAAAGAAUUAUUUUUACAUUCAAACUCAGAGUCGCCACUUGGCAUAAUCCGGUGUGCCAAGUCACCUUUGGAAAAUCCUUUUCGAAAUGAUUUUACUCUUAAAAAGACUAAUUUGCCAACAGAGAUUCCGGCUAAGGAAUUCUGUUGACCGAGGUGAAGGUGUUAGGAACCUCUCGAUCUUGUGGUUCGACCACGGUCGCUUGGUGGAGCGUAUCAGCUAAUUUUGACACUACGAAUGUACAAACCACACAAAACACGUAAAAUAAUCAAUUAAACAAACAAAACAAAAUAAAUUCAAAAAAAUGUAAUGUUCAAUCCAAUUUAUGCAGUCCAAAAUAGAGAAAUACAAAGAAAUAAAUCCUAUCUAACCUAUACUAAUCUUCACUAUGCUCCCUUGCUUUACCCGACGCCGCGGGCCUUCAUCACGGACGUCCUCCAAGUACAAAAUACUUUGGGGCAUUCCCCGGAUAAAAUAAUACAAGUACUU
rnacentral:lncRNA from 1 species